rnacentral:lncRNA from 12 species
CCAGAACAGUUUAAUGCAAAUAUUCAGAUGUGUGCAGCACAUUUUAUGGAGGACUGUUUCCUGAUCCUGGGAGAGGAAGACUACAAUGCCGGCUUUUCUGACUCACAGUCUAUAAAUAAGUUUACAUAUGUAAAGGAUUUGCCACUGAUGAUUCAAGCGUGAGUUCUGAGCAGUGUAGAGCAGCAGUUCUCAAUUCCAGUCCUCGCGCCCCCCUGCUAUGCACAUUUUGUAUGUUUCUCUUAUGGCUUCAGACAUUUGUUCUAUUUGAACGUAAGUGCCCUGCUGGUGAAGAGUAGCGCUUGUUGUUUGUUGUUUCUCCGAUCAAAAAUGCAGACAUGGUUUUAUGUUUAUGCGGCGCGAUGCAACGCAAUGUGUAAAAACAAUAUAAGUCAUUAUAAUCCAUAAUUAUGUCCCCACUGGAUGCAACAAAUGCCUUGUUUGUAAUAGGUUUUAUUGUUAUUGUCUUGUCACCCCAGUGUUCUGAGUCUGGAACACGCAUCACAGUAUGGCAAGGGGCGUAACAUUUCCGUCACAUGCUUGAGGCAUUCGGUCAAUCACAACGCACUGAAUAGCCGGCCAAUCAGAGCACACCUCGCUUUUCAGACCGAUGAGCUUUGUAAAAAAACUGCAUUUCAGAAAGGCGGGGCAUAGAGGAGAAACAAUAAUGUACAGUAUGUGGAAAAUAAUGUGUUUUUUGAAUGUUAAACCGCAUAAAAACAUUUCAUUACACCAAAUACACAAAAUAAUGUUCUUUUUAGCAACAUCAUAUGACCCAUAAGUCCCAAAGGCUGGUGUUGGCAUGUUGGUGUGGGAAACUGUGAUCUCCCUCUUAUACAGAAGCUAUAACAAUCAUAAGAUGGAGUGAGAUACUGGAGAUGCUAUUGAGAAGGUCCGGAGCAAGAUGAGACAAGUGGCUUUCAGAAAACUUGCAAGGAGGGAAAAUCUGCACAACAUAGGCUGGCUGAUUUGGGUUCAGGACAUUGAUAAUUCCAGCAGCUUGUUUUGGUUGCAGGUAAGUGAUGAAACCAGUUUUAAGAGCAUGGGUCUUGUUGUGUACAUCCUCUUGGUCCAGUCCACAAGGCAAUGACAACAGAAGGCAGUAUUCAUUUUCAGCAGUCAUAUGUUGAUCGUAGCUCUGUUGGUUUUUAAUGGGUCUAUGAUGUGCUUAAGCUUACAGUGCUUUUGGGAACACAGCCCUGGAGGAUCCCAAUACUGCAUAUG